CCGAGAAUAGCUCAGUUGGUAGAGCGGGAGACUGUAGUUUCUAAAGAUAUCUCUAGGUCCCUGGUUCAAAUCCGGGUUCUCGGA
rnacentral:tRNA from 1 species